AUGCUGGCACCCUGUUCUCAGACUUCCAGCUUCCAGAACUGUAAACUCAGGGUCUUGGCUCCCCAGAUCCAAAGUCAUGAUCAAGGCUUAUGCAAUUAACAAA